rnacentral:sRNA from 1 species
AAAGUGAAAUUUUCUGACCCUGGACAGCCUAUGUCUUUUGUGUUAGAGUUCCACUUUGAACCCAACGACUACUUUACCAACUCAGUCCUGACAAAAACCUACAAGAUGAAAUCAGAACCAGAUAAGGCUGAUCCCUUUUCCUUUGAAGGUCCUGAGAUUGUGGACUGUGACGGGUGUACUAUUGACUGGAAGAAAGGAAAGAAUGUUACUGUCAAAACCAUCAAGAAAAAGCAGAAGCAUAAGGGUCGAGGCACUGUUAGAACAAUUACGAAACAAGUACCCAAUGAGUCCUUUUUCAACUUCUUCAAUCCAUUGAAAGCAUCUGGGGAUGGAGAAUCACUGGAUGAAGAUUCUGAAUUCACAUUAGCCUCUGAUUUUGAAAUUGGACACUUUUUCCGUGAGCGGAUAGUCCCGCGGGCUGUGCUGUACUUCACUGGGGAGGCCAUAGAAGAUGAUGACAAUGUAUGAGGCUCGGGGAAGGGGGGCUUCCACCUGGGUGCUUAUCUCUGUUGGUGCAGAGUGGCCCUGAAUUGUGGCUUAGGAAACCCCCAUGCCUAAUCUUUUUAUUACAUCAUCAGCCAGAUAUGUAGUCCAAGCUGCUGUCCUUGUUGUGGGGGGAAUAUGCUUGAAGAGGAGAAGUCUGAGGAGCAGAGCAGGAAAAGCAGGUGUCUGUGAAGCAGUUUCA